rnacentral:rRNA from 1 species
AGAGUUUGAUCAUGGCUCAGAACGAACGCUGGCGGCAUGCUUAACACAUGCAAGUCGAACGAGGUCGGGGGCUUGCCUCCGGCCUAGUGGCGAACGGGUGAGUAACGCGUGGGAACCUGCCUUGGAGUGGGGGAUAACCACUGGAAACGGUGGCUAAUACCGCAUAUGGCCUGAGGGUCAAAGCCGCAAGGCGCUUUGAGAGGGGCCCGCGUCCGAUUAGGUAGUUGGUGGGGUAACGGCCUACCAAGCCUUCGAUCGGUAGCUGGUCUGAGAGGAUGAUCAGCCACACUGGGACUGCGACACGGCCCAGACUCCUACGGGAGGCAGCAGUGGGGAAUAUUGGACAAUGGGCGCAAGCCUGAUCCCAGCAAUGCCGCGUGCGUGAUGAAGGCCUUCGGGUUGUAAAGCGCUUUCGCCCACGACGAUGAUGACGGUAGUGGGAGAAGAAGCCCCGGCUAACUCCGUGCCAGCAGCCGCGGUAAUACGGAGGGGGCUAGCGUUGUUCGGAAUUACUGGGCGUAAAGGGUGCGUAGGCGGCUGUUCAAGUCAGACGUGAAAGGCCUGGGCUCAACCUGGGAACUGCGUUUGAGACUGGACGGCUCGAGUCCGGGAGAGGUGGGCGGAAUUCCCAGUGUAGAGGUGAAAUUCGUAGAUAUUGGGAAGAACACCGGUGGCGAAGCGGCUCACUGGACGGUACUGACGCUGAGCACGAAAGCGUGGGGAGCAAACAGGAUUAGAUACCCUAGUAGUCC